UGGAGGCAGCAGUGGGGAAUUUUGGACAAUGGGCGAAAGCCUGAUCCAGCCAUGCCGCGUGAGGGAAGAAGGCCUUCGGGUUGUAAACCUCUUUCGGCCGGGACGAAAUCGCAUCGGUUAAUACCCGGUGUGGAUGACGGUACCGGAAGAAGAAGCACCGGCUAACUACGUGCCAGCAGCCGCGGUAAUACGUAGGGUGCGAGCGUUAAUCGGAAUUACUGGGCGUAAAGCGUGCGCAGGCGGUUUUUUAAGCCAGACGUGAAAGCCCCGGGCUUAACCUGGGAAUGGCGUUUGGGACUGGAAGGCUGGAGUACGGCAGAGGGAGGUGGAAUUCCACGUGUAGCAGUGAAAUGCGUAGAGAUGUGGAGGAACACCGAUGGCGAAGGCAGCCUCCUGGGCCAGUACUGACGCUCAUGCACGAAAGCGUGGGGAGCAAACAGGAUUAGAUACCCCGGUAGC
rnacentral:rRNA from 1 species